GCUCUUCUAGCGUAUAUCGAAGUUGAUGCAGUUAAAACGCUCGUAGUCGGAGCUGUUCGGCUGGAGGAGAAAAUGCUGAUGUUAUCGAAAGAUGAUAUUGGAACUCCACCGAUUCAUUGGAUUGUGCGUGUGCAUGGGUUCGCCUGUGAUUACUGCCUUCCACUUUUACUUUGAGGAAAUCAGAGUGUUCAUAGCAGUCG
rnacentral:rRNA from 1 species